rnacentral:rRNA from 1 species
GACGAACGCUGGCGGCGUGCCUAAUACAUGCAAGUCGCACGCAGUGGGGACGGGUGAGUAACACGUUGGUAACCUCCCCAUCAGCGGGGAUAACACUUGGAAACAGGUGCUAAACCGAUAUUGCUGGAUGGACCCUCGGUGCAUUAGCUAGUUGGUGCGGUAACGGCUCACCAAGGCCACGAUGCAUAGCCGACCUGAGAGGGUGAUCGGCAACACGGGGACUGAGACACGGCCCAGAAUCCUACGGGAGGCAGCAGUAGGGAAUCUUCGGCAAUGGACGAAAGUCUGACCGAGCAACGCCGCGUGAGGGAAGAAGGUUUUCGGAUCGUAAAACUCUGUUGUUAGAGAAGAGGUAUCUAACCAGAAAGCCACGGCUAACUACGUGCAAGCAGCUACGGUAAUUC